GCGUUAAGUCGACGUCUGAGGGAGUACGGCCGCAAGGUUAAAACUCAAAUGAAUUCUACUGGGGGCCCGCACAAGCGGUGGAGCAUGUGGUUUAAUUCGAUGCAACGCGAAGAACCUUACCUACUCUUGACAUCCACGGAAUUCGGCAGAGAUGCCUUAGUGCCUUCGGGAACCGUGAGACAGGUGCUGCAUGGCUGUCGUCAGCUCGUGUUGUGAAAUGUUGGGUUAAGUCCCGCAACGAGCGCAACCCUUAUCCUUUGUUGCCAGCGAUUCGGUCGGGAACUCAAAGGAGACUGCCGGUGAUAAACCGGAGGAAGGUGGGGAUGACGUCAAGUCAUCAUGGCCCUUACGAGUAGGGCUACACACGUGCUACAAUGGCGCAUACAAAGAGAAGCGACCUCGCGAGAGCAAGCGGACCUCACAAAGUGCGUCGUAGUCCG
rnacentral:rRNA from 1 species